rnacentral:lncRNA from 1 species
GCGACUCUGUGUGUGCGCGUGCGUGCCUGUGUGUAUGCGUAUGUGUAUGUGUUUGUGUAUUUGUGUAUGUGUAUGUGUGUUUGUUUGUGUAUUUGUGUGUGUGUGUGUAUGUGUGUGUGUGUGUGCGUGUGUGUGUUAAGAAAUAGCGGAAGUUCUUGGAACACCCAGCAGGCAUGGGAUAUCAGCUAGAACUGCUUGUCUAUGUUGUGUCACCGGCAUACAUGCCUGCUUGCGUUUUGCCUGACUCUCGCCUUCAUAUAGUCUACUUACCGUGUUGGAUGGACGCUCAUUAUAACUUUUCAAAACAGAUACUAGCUUCAACACGCAGGACAAUUUUCUAAAGCUUCACGAAUAUAGCAGUAAUACAGAGUGCCAAACCAGGGAGUAAAAAUAUUAUACAUAUAUAUAUAUAUAUAAAUACAUUACUUUCACACCCGUAUGUACGAUAUAUAGAUAAAUAUAUUUUUAUAAAUUAUAUUUAUUUAUAUACCUGGCAGUGAGAAAGAACCUGAGUGAUAACUAACAAACGUAAAGUAAGUUGUUUUUGUUUUUUUUUUUGUAUACCUAAGUUUGAUGUUGAUUGUUACGUACAUAUAUAGUUUUCCUUCAAGCAUUUACGAAAUAGAAAAUCUCCAGUCCAUUGGCUUUGUAUUGAAUUGAUUUGUUAUCUGAGUUCUUGUGUGAAGUUUGUUUGUAAUUAUUAUACUUUAGCGGUACUUCUUCACGUUUAUUCCUCAACAGCAUUUAGGUUAGAAACGGCUCCAGUCCUUCAAGCACUACUAUAACGGUAUUUGCCUCGGAGCGAAUUCUGCUCGUGCCACCUUCCAGUAGACACUGCUCUCGCUCGUCUCCCUUCCUACUAUCUUCCGCGUGUCCACCCCAUACCCUAAUCUAAUUGCUACACCCAUUCUUUCCUCCUCGGACAUUUCAGAAUUCCCACCCUGUUCAGUUCUCUUCCACAAGUGUUCAUUUACAAAAUUUCAAAAAGAAUAUGAAUAUCAUUGGGAAGUAAACUGGUGUAGUAUGCCCCCUAAGGGCUGUGAGCCUUACCCUAUCCGCAAAACUAAGCUGUUUGUAUGUAAGUUAUUUGAUAUAAUACUCGGUGUGUUGAAUAUUCGACAAGUAUCACGUGAACUUACAGUUAGUGUCAGUUCCUAUUUCACUUGUAAUUUGAUUCGAAAUUUUGAUAUAAUCCUCGAUACCCGAAAAUAAGUUAUUUCCCCUCUUUUUCAUUUUCUGUCAUAGAGGUAUUCUACUUUGUCCGGUAUCCGGGUGUCUCACAUAUGAGAUCGUGAUGUUACUUCAAUCGAAGUAUUGCUCCAUCUCAGAAUAGAAACCCAUUACUGUUAAUUAGUUCCCUAUGAAGCCGGCGACUGGAGAUCGAAUUUGAACUCUAAAUGUAAAAUGUUGAAACUUUAAUGGCUAAGUGUCGCUUUUUGACACGUUGUACAUGUGUGACACUCCAUCAUCUACUACUACUAUUUUUUUUCUUAUCGACUUCCAAAAUGAGAAAAGUUAACCUAACAGAAUUUUAAAUUAGAUUACUGACUAUCGGGACACAUUUCACAUAACGUCGUAUCCGACUCUUUACCUACUCUGCCAAUUUAUUUGUUCUCCUGUAUGAAAGGGCAAAUUUUCAAUCAUGUCCUAAACGAAAGGAAUUUUACUUUAAACUCUUGAACUUUAACAAUUGCGUAAUGUGAAAAUCAUCGUAAUUGCAUUCUUGAACAGGUGAUUCUUUUAAUGUCGAAAGCGUCUACCAAUGAUCAAAAUUUUCCAUACAUGACCUCCUCGUGGUCAUUGUGUAAUUCAACAUGCUUUAUUCCCAAACUAUAUUAUUUGUAGUGGUUUCGAUUUAAUGUUUGGAAGUUUUUGCUGCUAUGUCUUGUAAGUCUCACACGCAGGCUAUUUCCCACUAGGUCAUGAUAACUGAUGCUAAUUCAUUUAGGAAGGAAUAUAAUUAAAUGUAUUUUAAUUUUCUAAAUUCAACUUGCUAAAUACUAAUUCUUUAUCUCAGUAAGUCUCUUUUACCUUUAUUUUAAAGUUGGAUAUUAAUCGAACAGGCAUCAACUUGCCGGCUGAAUAUGGAAUUCUAUUACCUAUAACUUUUUGCACCUGUUUCAUCAGGUAAAACUUGUAACUGCCAUUUCCUUGGGCUUCUGAGCAUGAACGUUAUUCUUCAUUAUCUCGUUUAACCUGGCUCUCCAGGAUAGGUGGGUAAUUAAGUUAGAAAAUUACAUGUGAUGAAUUGUUAUCCUGUCCACGAUUGAUUUUUUCCCUAAUACAUCAUGCCAUGAAGUAAAAACUAUAAUCUGAUUUUCAAAGAAACACUGAUGCUCACACUGAAUUUAUUUUCUUAUUGUGUUAUCACUUGCUUUACAUUCUCUUUAUCAAGUUUUGGAGAUCUUUAAGAUCAAGACACAUUUCCCAUUUGUGUUGCACUAUGUGGAUGAACAAAACCCUUCCCUUGCUAAUAUUAUUAAUCUACUGCAGGUAAAGUUGCCACACUUCUGCAAAUUAUUCGAGUCAUUUAAAUAGAGAACUAACGUAUUUUCUGCUUCGAAGCAUUACAUUUUGAUUCUAGAAGUUUCAAUUCUUGAAUAUUGAUAUUUCUUUAUAAUGCGAUACUUAGGGCAACUUAAGACCUAGACAAAUGUUAUGUGUAAAAUUAAACACAAAUACUCCCUAUUAAUUUCACUAUUAGGACAUUAUCGACUGCUUAGAUAUUUGCAAAUGAAAAACCGCAUCUUAUUUGUUUUUUUUUUAUAUGUUUAGAGCCAUGCCAGCCCUGCUCGGGCGUAUAUUUCUCUAAUGCUGUAUGUGGAUAGAUGCUGCGAUCGAACUGUGAUUAUAGCAUCUAUUUACACACAGUAAAACAAUGAAAUCAAAUUUCUAUCAUAUCAAAUUCAUAUCGUAUUACUAAAAUAACCCAAUUCAUGUUUACUUUCCUGACUCAAAUGGAUAGUAGUAAUGUAUAAUUUUUAAACGGAAUAAUUUUGAAUGCUGAAACGAUAUUUGAUUCAUAUAUGACUGAUAUUGCUAGCACGUCAGGUAAACAUUCAUUUGCGUCUUCUGAAGAUUUACCUGUGAAUUAUGCAUAUUACCUCCUCCAUUCCAUCCUUAUUUUCAGCAGCCACAAUAUCACCAAAUCGUUAUCAGUUCAUUGAACUCCUCGUUGUUAUGAUUCCUUCUCUGUUUGUUGAUCUGAGUAUAUAUUAGCUAUAUAUUGUUAGUGUAUCCAAAGGCUGAGCUUCACUUGGACUGCUGUAGAAUAAAAGCCCAUUACUGCAGCUUUUAAUUUACGCAAAACAUUUUUUGUUAGUUUGAACUAUUUAAUAAUUAGAUUUGAAAUCAUAAUAUUUAUCCUCUAUUUAACAUUCAAAUAUACGAAUUUGUUUUGCCUAUAUUAUAACAUAUUUAAAAAUGUAGGGAGUUGGCAGAACCGUAGGCACGCCGGGGCAUUUCGUCUAUCUUUUGUUCAAAUUCCACUGAAGUAGAUUUACCUUUCAUCGUUUAAGGGUCGAUCAAAUAAGCACCAGUUGAGCAUUGGGGUUAAUGUAAUCGGCUUAUCGAAAUAUCUGGCUUUGUGCCAAACUUUGAAAUCGAUAUAACAUACUUAAAUAGAAAUGAUUUAAAAUAUUUUCCAACAAGAAAAGAUUAUUCUUUGUCACACAUAUGAAUUUUUUCUGAUGUAAUUUAACCAGUUAAACACUAAUUUUGUUCAAAAGUUUAAGAUGAGAAUUAAGACCAAACUAUUUUGUUUUUCAUUUUUUGAUAUGAACCGUUAUUCUCACCAUAGGGAUAGUAAUGGUAGAAAUGAAAUUCUUCUACAUCAUAAUUUUCAAUCAUUCAUCAACGGAACAUCGAGGCGUCUUUGAGAUUUCAUUACUAUAUCGGAAAACGCCGCGUCCUCCUCUUUUGAGCUUUUCUCAAUUUCUGAAGAAAAUAACACUGCGUUUCUUCAGCCUAUUUAUCUCUCACAUGAUGAACAAACUGAGAGAUGGAGAAGAGGUGAGAGAGAAGAUAUGAUAAUCAAUGAACAAAUUUAUAAUGAUAAAUAUCUAAUAAUAAAUUAUCAGAAAUAUAAGUUGAUUUUUUUUGUAAAUCCUUCUUAAAGUUUUACUGUUUCGCACUCCAAUGCAGAUAUUAGUUCGAAAUUAAAAAUACUCUUUUUUUCACGCCACAGAAAUGUAUCCAAGUUCACACACACAAAAAUUAUAAUAAACAAUUAUGUUGACUGAUACCGUUUCCCUCGGUCUCUGUUGUUUAUACUUUUGAACUAUGUUUUCAAAUUCGUAUUGUAAAAAAAAUAUGAAUUUCAACGCAGUAAUAUUUCCCCAGACUAUUGUCUUCAACCUUAUAUCUGUUGUGAGAAAAGAAUGAAACCAAGCUUCCAAACCCAUGUUCAUAAGAUAUAUAUCACAUUGUCUUUUUAAUUUUAAUUGUUGCAGCAACCGCAUUGUUGCUGUAAGCUUUCCUUGCACAACUGGGUUUUGCUGUAUGAUAUGCGUGCAAUCAGUGAUUUGUUUCUAUUCAAUGCUCAUUCAUUAAGCAUGUUUUUAUAGGCACUGUUUCUGCUUAUAAUCGGCAAGUUCUAGUUAACUUCAUUUACAGUUAUUUAUACUUAAAUAGUUUCUCACUCUCACCCCGCAAUCUUUGCACUUGCGCGCGUGCACGCGUCCGCUUUCCGGACGAAUAGAUGGAUAGACAGAUAGACAGACAGAUAGAUAGAUAGGUAGAUAAAUAGAUAGAUAGAUAGAUAGAUAGAUAUACAUUAAUCAUUCACUGAGAAAGGUCUGUGGUGAGAGUUAUCAAACAUGUUGGUGUUAUUGAGGACCGUCUAAGCAAUCUCUUCUUCACGGUUUUAUAACGAAAAAUAUAAAGAAAUUUCAAAUUGGUGUAGGAGUACAACAGAGGGAGAAUGGAGCAUUACCAGGUCGUUAUGAAAGUUAGCAACAGAUUAGCACCUCUUAGAGCAUUUAUUCCGAAAUGAAAAUACCAUUCUUUGCGGAAGCAGCUCAGAGUUCAGUCAAGUUUACUCAAAGAUGUAAUGUUCAAUGAUUGUGAUCAUUUAAUGAAAAGGUUGGUGCAAUGUUAGCCGACGCUGUCAAACAAAGGAUCGUCAGCUGUGACAACAGAUUUCGUAAGGUGGACAUAACUGUAGAAGAUAAAAUAUAACCGUAUCACUGAUGCCGUCUUAUUAUAUUCCGAACAUUGGUAAGAGGGUUACAUAGAUGCACUUUUUUGUACACUGUCGUAGCUAAAUGAGCUGAGAUGAAAUGAAAGAAUGAUCCACAGUUUAGGAACUUCUCUGAUCUGCCACCAGUGGUUGUUGCAAUUAUUUUUCUUUUUAACAUUUCUAUAUGUUCUAAUCUUUGUAUUUAUCUUAUACCCUUAAAGUAACUAAAAUAUUAUAUUUAUAAUUAUUAUUAUUAUUAUUAUUAUUAUUAUUAUUAUUAUUACUCACUAGUACUAUUUUUAUCACGUACGUUUACUGCACUACAGAACGCAACUCUGUGUGCCUUGGGUAUGUGCUGUGAUUUGUUGUGGUUCUCGUAUUUUCACUGUCUUGAAAGUGUUUUACGAAGGAUUGUGUGGUGCCUAGUAGUGCUAUUUUGUGUAUGUUAUAUAUACUUGUAAGUCCUGGUGUUUUUGUUAUGUAUUUCUCUGACUGAUUUUUUAUCAUACCUAAUAAUACCAUAAUAGGAUGAGAAUUGUUUGUUUUUAGGUCCCACAUUCGAUUUACCUCUGUUUCCAGAUCAUUGUAUUUUGAAAGUUUCUCCGUUUUUCAGAGAAACAUUGUCACCUGUUGGUAUUGAUACAUGGAUUACAAAGCAAUUUUUUCUUGGUUAUCUCUAACAACUAUAUCCAGCCUAUUAUUAUUAUUAUUAUGGCUGACGGUUAGUAAGGAGAGACACAAAUAAGAAAGAAGAAAACAAAGGACCACUGAUGCGGUCACAGGAGUGUGACGAAAGAACUCUGGCCAAAAUAAGAUUAAGAUUAAUGUAAAAAAUAAAUAACACUGAAGCAAAAUAACACCAAAUAUAUAGUGCGUGUGUUUUUAUUGGCUAUACUGGCAAUAUGACCAUUUCCGAAAUAUAACAAUAUCUGUUUCGACACACGACCUCACAUAAAAAAUAUUGCACAACAAAUAUUAAACGUAUUAUUAUUAUUAUUAUUAUUAUUAUUAUCAGAAGUUGUAGUAGUCUCAUUAUUAUCAUUAUUAUUGUUGUUGUUGCUGUUAUUCAAAGUCUUUCAUUGUUUCGGGGUCAAUAAAUUUCCAGUGAAACACAGGGGUGGAUGUAAUCGCCUAGACCCUCCUCCGAAUUUCAGGCCUUGUGCCUAUAGUAGAACGGAUUAUGGUUAUUAUUAUUUAUUAUCUUUGCACAGCGUCUAACGCUUGAGAUGUGAUACGGUGUCUCCUGUUCACUACGUGUGAAAUAAGGUAGCACCCCUUUGAGCGCCAUCUGGAGUAUUCGAGCGGUUACAAGGAGUGCUGUUUCCUGCAAGCGCUCCACCCUUAUUGCAGCCCCUAUUUGUCCCAUGUACCUUAUUAUUAUUAUUAUUAUUAUUUACUUUUGAUCUACACAUUUGUUACAGUCACUCUUCGAGACACACCCAGCGUCCUGGGGUGAGUGAAGGGUAAGAGAUGUUAUACUAUGACCGAAAGUUUAGGGAGGAAGUGUAGCGAAAUAUCUUCAUAGAAUACCACACAAACAUUGAAAUGGAUAGAGUAUUUUUAAUGAUAUGGGCGGUACUUGUCAUUACAAUUUUUUGGAUUUCUCUGACAUAUGGUUCUCCUGGAAUAUUAAUUAAAUGUUUCUGUCAUUCCUUUUUUUAUCAUAUCUAGGGCACCUAAAAUAACUAAAACACUUCUCGCUUUAAGAUGCCAACUAUUUUGUAUUUCAAGUUCCAGGUCCUUAUAUUUAUUCAGUUUGUCAAAUUACUUUACACAAGUAUUUUUAUCGCUGGGAACACUUUCGUUUAUUUGCCUAUAAGAAUUUUCUUCCUUGUCUUUAAUAAUUAUGUCUCGUCGAUUAGCCUGGAUCAGUCUGUCAGUGUUGACUGGAAAAUCCCAGAGAAUAGUGACAUUUUUGCUUUCAACAGCUGACUCAGGCUGAUGUUCAUACCAUUAAGCAGGAGUGCUGAUUUUGUUGUCUUUACAUAUUUUCCAAUCUAAAUACUCUCCUACCCUAUCGUGGAGAUUUUGUAUUCAUUUGGAUCAGCACAAGACAUCCUGAGACAAGAUGGUCUAUUGCUUCGUUAUAUGUGUUGCAGAAUCUGCAUUUAGGUUAAUAACCAUUUUGAAGAGCGUUAGGCGGGUAGUUUUUGGUGAGCAAGCUUUGAUUUUGUGCCGCCAAUAUAAAACCUUCGGUCUCUGCUUUCAGUCCUCAACUUCUCAGCGACUGAUGUGUCGUUGCCUGAUUUACAUCAGAAUUUUGACUUCCAAGUAAAUACUGUUCAUACUGAGGUUUCUGGUUCCACUGCUUCUCAAUUUGUUUCUUCCCGUUCAUUUUUGUAGUCUGCUUGAUCCAUUUCGCUUGGUUUGUGGAAGUGGUUUCAGGUUUUCAACUAUUUCAGGGUUCCCUUGCGAAUUUGCAAGCUUCUUUGACAAUAGAAUGUGAUAUUUUGCUGCUUUCGUGUUUGCUACCAUGUCGCAGCCUCCACAAUUUUUACGUUCUAGGAUCAAAUUCCACCGAGGUCGAUUUUGCGGUUCAUUCGUUCGGGAUCCAUAAAAUAAGUACUAAUUGAGUACUGGGGUCGAUGUAAUCGACAAUGCCCCUUCCCCAAAUUUCAGGCCGUGUGCUUAUAAUAUAAAUUAUUAUAAUUUUCUUCUUGCCUUUUUUCAAGUUUGUUUCCAUUUCUUGUUGAAUAACUUCUCAAAACUUUGGGCAAAGAAACACACAACAUACAUUGGUAGGCCAUAAAAAAACAUGCCAAAUUGUUCAUUUAUAAUAUAUAAUUAUUAUUAUUAAGGUACCAAACUAGCAGAAUCUCUACCACGCGGAGCAAGAUGCUUUGCGAAUUUCAUCCGUCUUUACAUUAUAAGUUCAAUUCCGCCGAUGUUGACUUUGUCUUUCAUAAUUUUGGGGUCGACAGAAUAAGUACAUUUGAGCACAGGGGUCAAUGCACCCGACCUACCACCCACCCCACCGCCAAAGAAAUUGCUAGCCUUGUGCCAGAAUUUGAAACCAUUAUUGUUAUUAUUAUUAUUAAUAUUAUUAUUAUUAUUAUUAUUAUUAUUAUUAAGAAGAAGAAGAAGGGGAGGAAUGGGUUGGUUGAUUGCAUCAACCCUAGAAAGGGAAACUAAAGUCAACUCUGGCGGAAUGUGGGCUCAGAAAAUAAGGACGCAUGAUAUACCGCUAAGCAUUUUGCCUUAAGUGCUAACGAUUCUGCAAGGUCAGCGCCAUAAUAAUAAUAAUAAUAAUAAUAAUAAUAGUAAUAAUAAUAAUAAGAGGUACCAAGGAUCAACUCCUAAUAGAUAAAACUGUACUCAGAGACUGCAAGAGGAGGAAAAAUAACUUAGCCAUGUCAUGGAUCGACGAUCGUAAGGCGUACGAUAUUAUCCCACAUUCUUGGAUUAUGGAAUGUAUGAACCUAAUUGGGAUUGCAUCGAAUGUUGAACGAUUGCUUGGAAAAAGUAUGGCGAAAUGGAGGAGGGACCUGACAGCAUACGGAAGAAGUUUAGGGACAGUAGAUAUUAGGAGGGGCAUCUUCCAAGAGGAUUGCCUGUCCCUACUGAUUUUUGUACUGUGCUUGAUACCACUCACACUGUUUCUCAGGAAAGCAAAUGUUCGUUAUGUAUUCAAAAGCCGCCAACAAAAUGUCGACCAUUUGUUAUUCAUGGAUGACCUCAAACUUCAUGGUAAAGAUGAAACCCAAGUCAGUUCCCUCGUUGAUACGGUGUGUGCGUUCAAUGCUGAUAUCAGAAUGGAUUUCAGACUGAGAAAGUGUGUUGUGUUAAUCUUGAAGAGAAGCAACAUAACUGUAUGGACGGAGUAGCGAUACCGUCGGGGGAGGUUAUGAAGCAGAUAGAAGAAACGGGAUAUAAGUACUUGGGGAUUUAGGAAAUGGAUAAAUUAAUGGAGAAAGAAAUGAGAGAAAAAUUUAAGGUGGGAUACUUCCGUAGACUGAGACUGAUCCUUAAAUUGAAAUUAAAUGGACGGAAUAAGAUCGAAGUUAUCAAUACCUGGGCGGUUCCACUCCUUAGAUAUGGAGCAGGGGUAAUCACAUGGACAGUAGAUGAACUAAACAGCUUAGACAGAGAGACAAGGAAGUUGCUAACUAGAUAUGGUUCACUCCACCUAAAAAGUGACACAGGGAGACUGUAUAUACCAAGAAAAAGAGGUGGAAGAGGACUUAUCGGGUGCGAACACAGCAUUGGAGCAGAAGAAAACAACGUAGUAUGGUAUGUAAAAAAAGACAGACAGAAAAACAAGAUGGCUGUGGAUAAAUAAAAGUGAUUUAAAACCGGAAACAUAUGCUCUAAUAUGUUCUGCUCAAGAGCAAGCACUAAGAACUAACUACAUAAAAUACAGACUAGACAACACACCAGAAAGAGAUAAGUGCAGAAUCUGUGGACAAAAUGGUGAGACCGUAUGGUAUAUUACCAGCAAAUGUACGCCACUAGUCGAGAAGGAAUAUAAGAGACGCCACGACGAUACAGCCAGGCUAGUCCAUUGGACACUUUACAACAAUUAUGGACUUGACAGUGAAAGAAUUUGGUUCGACCGCAAACCUGAAGGCAUUGUUGAAAAUGGAAAUGCAAUGAUCCUAUGGGGUUUUAUGAUUCAGUGCGACCGUGAUAUUGAGAAUAGGAAGCCCGACAUUGUCUUAAUUGAGAAAGAAAACAAACUAUGCUGGCUCAUAAAUAUAGCAUGCCCAGCUGGCAACAAGUUAUGCGUUAAGGAAGUAUGAAAAAUCGAGAUGUAUGACACGUUAGCUUGGGAAUUUAAACAGUUGUGGUCGAUGAAAAGGGUAGCAGUAGUAUCAAUGAUUUUCGGAGCCCUGGGAACAGUGAGCAAAAAUCUCGAGAUGUACAUGGAACAAAUAGAGGCUGCAUUAAGGGUGGAGCCCUUGCAGAAAGCAGCACUGCUUGGAACCGCUCAAAUACUCGGAAGGUGCUCGGGAAAUGAGAGGUGUUACCUUAGUUAACUGGUAGUGAACAGCUGACACUGUAGUACACAUUCGUCGUUAGAAGGCAACUAUGAUAAUAAUGAUGAGAAUAAUAGUAAGGAAUAUUAUUUCAUUAAUUUAUGCGUGUCUCUACUACAGAAUCAGAUUUCUGAAGGUAGUGAUUUUUAUUAACAUACAUUGUAUGAUACAUGUGUUGCAUUGCUGAUUAUAUUGGCUUCUUGUUUCUCUAAUAUUUAAUCUAUUUGUUAUGUAGACGAUGGUCUUUGAGAGUUUUGUUAUUAUAUUACGACGUGAUUGCUCUUUGGUUUUGUUUGCUUCUGUGUUGCCAGCAAAAGUACGUGAUUAGUGUAGCAUGAAGAAAACAACCAACUUUUCUUUAUAUGUAAUGAGACCAACUACAAAUUAGCAGCUGACUAUACUGGAUCAGGAUUUGAAUGAGCCUUAUGGUGGAUGCCGAUAUGGCUUAUUUUACAGAAUACUUGUAGUGUUGUGUUCCUGGUAUAUAUCUGUACGUAUGAGUUCAAACUUUCCUUUCUCACACUUUCUGCUCUUUAUUUUUGUCUUUCAUUUAGCAUACACAUGCUUUUCAUCCAUUUCAAACGACUGUGUUUCUAUAAUUUCCGAACUUUCCUCCAGGUGAUAUUUUUGUCUGUUCACAGAGAAAUGUAUCGUAUUUGGAACGUACAUAUUCAGUGCCUUCACUUUAAUUGAAAGUUUUGGAGUACUGCUAACUUGAUGUAUUGGGCAUUGCUUAUGUUUGUAGAUGUCUUUGGAUUUGCCAGAAAUUAUGCGUUCAGUUGUCUUGUAUUUUGUCUUUAUAAAUAACUGUUUUCUAGUCACAUAUUUAUCAUGUACAACCAAAAUUACAUAUCCAUUUUUGUCUUUAUAUCAGUAUUUCUGAGCAAUUACUGGCUUAAACAUUUACUUGCUCCCACGGUAUCGUGUACUGGAGGAUUUUGGCCUCGUAAAUUGUUUUCAUCGCGAUUUCCUUGUUUACAUACAUUUUUCUACAUUCUUCAUAUUUUUUCUUCAAUAUUACUAGCUUCCAAUUUCUAGUUGGUCUCACUGUAUAUAUGGAAACGUUGUUUGUUUCCUUGAUGCUACACUAGUCACUUUUUUUGUUGGCUCCUAAAUAAUAUUUAUUGGAACAGUCGUUGAUUCGCAGUAUUUGUUUUUAUUUGCCUCCAGUUCCAUACUUUAUGAGUGUGGAGCUGAUGUAUCCCAUUAGUGUCAGCUUAGUGCUAUGGUUUUAGAUUAUAUUUGGGAGUAUCUUAUGCUUUCCUCUACGAUCUCCAAUUUAAUUGUUGAUACAAUAAUUUAUAAAAGAGAUGAUUUGCACAUUUUUACCUAUUACCAUACUGUUAAUAAUAGUUCCAAAUUUUGGCAGAGGAACAGUAAUUUCGACUCCAAAAAAAUGAAAUGCAAAGUCAAACUCGGCGUGAUUUGAACUCAGAACGUAAAGACGGAAAUGAUGCAAAGCAUUUUAGACGCCAUACUAACGAUUUUGCUGGCUGCUUUGAUAAAACUGUUAAUAUUGAUUUUCAGUUUUUGAAAUUUGUCUGAAGUUUCUGAAAAAAUGUUUAAUAUCGUUCUCUUUUAUUUAUGUGUGAUUAAUCUCAUCAGUCUCACCUAUUAAGCUUAUGUGUUCCUGGCUCUGUUCUAAUUUUCUGUUCUCAGAGACUGGAUAUAAUAUAAUGUUCUCAAUUAUGGUAAUUUACUCAUUUUUAUAACAGCUUUGGCAAAUUUCCUAAUCCCAUACUCAAUCCUAGGUAAUGGAGCUAUUUGUAAUCAAAUGUUGGUAGAUUUCCUAGAUGGACAUUAUUCCUUGUAAACAGUAUGUAUUUCAGAGAGGAUAUGGUUUCGAAUCUGUCUCUAAAAUUUACAAUAGUUGUUAGGAUUCUUCAUUACUAGUUGUAAUAUUCUUCAUAUAUGCAUAAGGCAAUUUCUCGCUUACGUUAUUUUGGUUGUAUUUAUACAUAUAUGCACAAAUAAUACAUGCAUAGACACAAGCAAACACACACACACACACACACAUACACACACACACACAUAUAUUGUUUACAAAAUGAAAUUACAUGCUUGAUGCAUUUUCUUGCAUUAUUUAUAGCUAGACUCUCAAGUAUCGAAAACUUUCCUAUACCAUUAAAUUAUUUUUGAUAAAUUUUGUAUGCCAUAAUAAUGGUUAUCUUGAUUGCCCGCGUCACUAGUAGCUCCUCCUUCAGUAUAUACAUCUCUUUUCCAGUACCGUUUCUGUUCCUUUAUGAAAGUGAGAUUUCUAUCGACAUUGACAUCCAAUCUGAUUUAGAUUUACAAUAUUAGGGGAAUUUUGGUUAUUAACAAAAAUCUUUAGGUUUAUACAUUUCUAUAUCUCCUGUAUUGUUGCUUCCAGGAACAACAAUUUCCCCGCGCAGCAGCAAUGAUUCUUUUGUAGUGUUGAUCGGUUUAUUCACUGAUUGCUGCCAGCAUAAAUUAAUGAAUACUGCUUUGAUGUUUCUGCUAAAAAUUGGGUUAUUUGUUCAACCUACGGUUAUGCAGCUUUUAAAAUGUUGCGAUGUUCUGUGCUGGAUGCGUUUAAUCAGAUUCGUAUCACUAUUGUAUAUUUUAUAGUGUUGAUCGGUAUACAUGUAUAUAUAUAUAUAUAUAUAUAUAUAUAUAUAUACUUACAUACAUAUAUAUAUGUACUUGUGUGUUUGUGUUGGUUCCCCCACAACCGAUAUUGACAACCGAUAUUGGUGCGUUUAAGUCCCAGUAUCCUAGCAGUUCAACAAAUUAGACCGAUAGAACUAACAGUGCUAGCAAAUUCAAAUAUGCAAGCGAAGAAUUUCUGCUCUCCCCUUUCCACCAGCGUGGGCUAAAAUCAGUGUUUUCAAAUCCAAACCAGGCAGUUCUGAGCUGAUGAUAGAAGUGUCGAUUUUGACUAAUCUUGAAACGUACGUUCUCAAAUAACCUUUGCAUUUGAUUUUUUAAUGUCUCUACCCACAUACUUUCGUGAGUUGAAUUGAGCAAACACUAUAUGAGAGAGGUUUUCUUUAAGUAUUGGAGAUAGUUUUUAAAAAAGUUUUUUUAGCUGCUAUUUCUAAUGAGUUCAGUAUGCGGCAAAGUAAUUUAUUUUACUAAGCCCUUUUAUAUAAUGUAAUAAUUUGAAUUCGCCUUAAAUGGUCCCUUUGUAUACUGAAUACUUGGUGAAAUUGAUUAAUUAAUUAAUUUUACCCUCAAUUGUUGAAAUAUAUAUAUAUAUAUAUAUAUAUAUAUAUAUAUAUAUAUAUAUAUAUAUAUAUAUGUAUAUAUAUAUGUUAAUAAUAUCAAAGGGUAAUUAGAAAUAUCUGAAAUUUCCUUACCAGUAUCCUACCGUGUAAAGGUUUAGUCAAUAGACUAUAUAUUAUCCAUGCAAAUACAGUGUAUAUUUAAACAUACAAGAGGCAUCUAUCAUAGGGUUCCUUGAAAGAUAAAGACCAGAGUUAAAUUCCAAACCACUAUUAGGAAUAAAUUUUCGGAGGGAAUAUGGUAAAUGUUUUUAUUUUUCACUCCCUUCGAAAUUUUAUCUCUAAUAGUCGUUUGGAAUUUGACUGUACUUUCGAGCGUGUAAUUGCAUAUAUAUAUAUAUAUAUAUAUAUAUGCUUGGAUUUAAUCCUAAAUCUGAUUUUUUCCCUGUAAAUUUGGAUUUAUUCCCUAAUAUUUAUUAUGCUUAUAUAUAUAUAUAUAUAUAUAUAUAUAUAUAUACCAAUUAAGGACUGAACACGAGAAGUGGACAGACAACAUGCUAGAUAUGUGAUGAGUUUGAUUUGGGAACAUAAUCUUUUGUGGAGAAUGGCGAUUUGACGUCUAUAUCUAGCAUGUUGAAUGUCCACUUUUCGUGUUCAGUCCUUAAUUGGUAUAUAUAUAUACUUAAUCUUCGAAUUCUUUUUUUAAUAUGCUAGACCACUGGUUUUAAUUGAUAAAUAUUGAUUUCUACCCUUAAUUAAUUUUAUUAUAUAUAUAUAUCUAUAUAUCUAUAUCUAUAUACAUACAUGCAUACAUAUAUAUAUAUACAUGUAUAUAUAUAUAUAUAUAUAUAUAUAUAUAUAUAUAUAUAUAUAUAUAUAUAUACGAGAUGCUAAUGCUGUGUGGGCCAAAUCCUCUUGAUGGUAAGUGACGCCAGCCCUCUGGCGCAUACGUGUACAGUUUUGCCCUGCUAGGCCGCGUCAGUUCCCAGAUGUUAUGCGCGGAGUACAGUCGUAAUUCCCGCCUUCCAACAAGUCGAUCGAAAGCAUCGAACAGAGAUAUUCCAUCAAAUUUUGCACAAAACGUGGUUGUACUCAAGCUCAAACAAUCCAUAAAAUAUUAAGCUUGAAACCGCUUGAAAUAUAGACGUACAUCAGUGGUUAGCUUGGCAAAUACUCAUAGAAUACCUUCGUCUAACGACUCGUAAAAUAAGAAAAUAAGGGAAGGAUCAGGGCAUUCGAUUUUUAACGUAGAAUUUGUGCAAUCUGAGAGUGCCGGCGAUACUGAUCCCCAUGUUCCUAGCAAAGCAGCAGAAGCAACUUAAUAUUGAAAUCUUGCUGGACUUUACAAAUAACGAACCACACUACACGAAGACAAUCAUCCCUUGUGAUGAGAAAUAGGUCUAUGGUUGCGACCAGGAAAGUAACUUCCAGCCCUCCUAAUAGAAGCAUCAGAUAUCAUCAAAGCCAAAAAGUGCACUAUAAGUUCGCAGGAAUGUGAAGGCAAAUUUCACCUUUUUAUUUGGGGCCCGUGAUUUUGAGCAUCAGGAAUACGUACCACUAACCCAAACAUUCAAGAAGGAAUAUUACCUGUAGAUUAUACGACGCUUUCGUGAUGCAGCGUGUGUAUUUGUGUCUGUGUUUGUUUUGUGUGUGUGUGUGUGUGUGUGUGUGUGUGUGUAUGUGUGUGUGUGUGUGUGUGUGUGAAGUGAAAUGAGUUAAGAAUCCAGGUAGAUAUCUAUAUAGCACUUUGAGUUAAAAAUGAGCUUUUACAUAUACAUUUGUAGUCAGAAAGAAAUACUGUCACUUUUGUUGUGGAUGACAGCGUUUAAACGGUCGAUACACAACUCUAUAUUCUAUAUGUAUGUGAUAGUGCAAUGGAAUGUGCAACGGAAGACGAAUCACAUAGAGAUGGAGGGAAAAUACAGGGGGAGGUAUUGUGUGAUAAUUAUAUUAUGGUGAGUGUUUAUGCUGGGCGUGGGAAAUUUUUUUUACUGCUGAUAAUAUAUCAAACGGACUGAAAACGUUUUCUACUUGGAGGGAACAAACAAGGCGACUAAAUAUAUUUUUGCCGUUGGGAAGAUAAAAGAAAUUUCACGAAGACCGCCGUGUGGGGACUACUUCAGAAUAAUCAUUUUCCUGCUGAGCAAAGACUCCAGUAUCUAGUUCUGAUAAAUAAUACCUUAACUGUUCAAGUAAUCUCCAAAUUUGCGGUAUUUUUUCAAUAGCAAAAUGCCUCCUACCAAUACUGAGAAAAAUUCCCACCAUGUUUGACACCUCUGACAUAUAUUGGUGGAUUAAUUAGAAAGUGGGGAUAACUUCUCCUUUAAAUUUCUGAAAUCUAAAAUAUAUUUCAGACUGAGGCAAGGAAUCUGAAAACAUGAGCUUGGUUCCUAUUGCGGCCAUAGCGAAUGUUGUCGUUCGCGCCCACAAGAAUGCCGGCAACAGUCAUUAUGUAGAGCAAAAGCAGUUGAAGGUACUCUACUAAGUGUUUUCCUCAUUUCAAGUACAUAGAAGAAAAAAUAUAAUAUUCAUUUUAAACGUGAACCAAAGCUGUUGAAUUUUACUAACAGACUCGUAAAUAUUUGGCUGCUGUUAUAUUAAAUUAAUAGCAAUUUUAAACAGACACAAAAGCACACACAUACAUACUCAUGUAUGUGUGGCACUCCGUCGGUUACGACAAUGAGGGUUCCGGUUGAUCCGAAUCAACGGAACAGCCUGCUCGUGAAAUUAACGUGUAAGUGGCUGAGCACUCCACAGACACGUGUACCCGUAACGUAGUUCUGGGGGAUAUUCAGCGUGACACAGAGAGUGACAAGGCCGGCCCUUUGAAAUAUAGGUACAGCAGAAACAGGAAGUAAGAGUGAGAGAAAGUUGUGGUGAAAGAGUACAGCAGGGAUCACUACCAUCCCCUGCCGGAGCCUCGUGGAGCUUUAGGUGUUUUCGCUUAAUAAACACUCACAACGCCCGGUCUGGGUAUCGAAACCACGAUCCUAUGACCGCGAGUCCGCUGCCCUAAUCACUGGGCCAUUGCGCCUCAUGUAUGUGUACACCCAUCCACACAUCCACGCAUUUUAUUUGUGGGUUAGUAAUUUCUAAAGUCGGUUUCAUGACGAGAAUCCUCGGCCACUAUCAAGCUCGUCACAUGGGUCAUUGGUAUUCGUUUCCAUUUGAACGAGAAUACACCGAAGCUACACAAGCGUAUGCGGAUUUUUGGUACAAACAAAUAAAUAUACAGAUCAGGGGAAAUAAUUGAUAAUUGAUAUCUGCAUUAGCUAGCUAUCUUCGAAGUUAUGAAUAUGUGUAACUAUGAAUAUGAAUAUACACGUAUAUACACGUAUAUGCACGCAGGCACCAGUGCAGAAUAUCCAUACAGAAUAUGUGCACACACACGCACACACAAAACAAACACUGACACAAAUACACACACACACAUAAAUAUAUGUGUAUGCCUGUCUGUGUUAGUGUAUGUGUGUGUGUGUGUGUGAUAUAAAUAAGUAUAGAUAUGCAUAUAUGUAUAUGUAUGUCAGUGUAUAUAUACAUAUUCACACAAACGUAUGCAAGUGUGCGUGCGUGUUUUUGAUUGUGUAUGUGCCUUUGUAUAAUUGUAUUGAACGCGUACCUGCAUUCUCAAACUUGAAAUGACCUCCACUGGAGCGAAUUUCCCCUUCCGACAGUUAUUUAGAAAAACACACCACUUGGUUAUGGAUCUCGUCAUUGGACCAUAGAAGACGUAGUGCGCAGCCUAUUAAAUACUGCAGCUUUUGAUAUUCAAACAGCAUUUGACACAUUUGUUGAUGAAUGCUAAACUUUGUAGGGUUUCAAUUAAUUAAAUAGACACGCAUUAAGCAACAAUGAAUGAUUUAGAGAAUUGCACAAUUAUGCACGCCUAUACUGAAUGGCUGCGAUCGAAGGAUACUGUGUCCGUAUUCAUUAAAGCGUAAAGACGCAGCAACAUGCAUCCUGUGAUGCGGUGAUGUCAUUGAUAACCCAGCGUUGGGAUUUUACUGCAAAUUAUAUAUUGUAAGAAUGUCUCCACAAAGAACGUUUUCGCUGCCGAAUCCUUUCCACAUUUGAGUUUACACGUCUUGAAUAUAAUUAUAUAUACCUAUGGUUCUAUCAACAAUGCUUCAUUAGCAUCUAAUUAAUUACUUCCAGCUUCACAAGUUUUUGAAAGAAACAACAGACGUUUUAUUUACAGCUUAGGUUCAUUUCAUAUCAUAUGCAAACUAUCCUGAACGUAUAAGGUUUUCUUUGUUUGAGGGUAUAUUAUACCACAAUAUCUAUCUAUCUUUCUAUCUAUCUAUCUAUCUAUCUAUCUAUCUAUCUAUCUAUCUAUCUAUCUAUCUAUCUAUCUAUCUAUCUAUCUAUCUAUCUAUCUAUCUUUCUUUCUAUCUAUACAUAUAUAUAUAUAUAUACAUACAUACAUACAUACAUAUAUAAUAUUACCUGUGCGUCUGCACACACACGCAUGUGUAUAUGUAUAUAUAUAUAUAUAUAUAUAUAUAUAUAUAUAUAGAGAGAGAGAGAGAGAGAGAGAGAGAGAGAGAGAGAAAGCAGGAAAAGAAACACGUCACGUGAGGAAAAGGAAUAUGGUCGAUGAUCACGCGUGAGCAACGUGAAAGAGAGUGAGAGAAAAAAAGGGGAGAAAGACAGAUAGAAUACGGUGACGGAGGGAAGGAUAGAAAAAGAGAAUUAGAAAAGGAUGGAGGAAGAAAACAGUAUAGGGUAGAGAGUGGCAUGAAAAAGGUGCCACUCUCUACCCUAUACUGUUUUCUUCCUCCAUCCUUUUCUAAUUCUCUUUUCUAUCCUUCCCUCCUUCGACGUAUUCUAUCUGUCUUUCUCCCCCUUCUUUUUCUCUCACCCUCUUUCACGUUGCUCACGAGUGACCAUCGUCCAUCUUUCUUUUCCUCACGUGACUAUCUUUCUUUUCCUCCACGGACGUGUUUCUCUCUAUCUCUCUCACUAUCUUCUAUCUUUUUUCUUAAGAAGGGAAAAAAUCAUUUCUGCCAGUGUUCACUAUUUUCCUGUCGUUUUGGUCUAACGACCCUCCAUGUUUGUUUUCGUGCGGUUUCCACUGUCAUGUUUUUGUUCCCAAAUAUUACCCUCUAUUUAUGGAAGCGACUGUCUUUGAAAACUCUUAUUGUCGUGGAAUGCUCGAAAUAAGGAGCAGAUAGACAACCGACAACUAAUGUGUUAACUUGUCCUAUUUUCCGUUUUUUCUUCGUUGUUUACUUUUUUCAUGUUACUUGCACCGUUGGUGAUGUCCUGUACCCAUAUAUAUGCAUAUAUGGUAGUCUUAAUACACAAAUACAGAAAUUCCAUCCAAUGCGGUGUUGAGCACUCAUGUUGUGUGUGUGUGUGUGUGUGUUUUAGCUUCAAAUUUUGGCACUCAGACACCAAGUUUAAGGCGGUGGGAAAAGUCGAUUAAAUCAAUCCCACUGACUAAUUGAUAAUAUUUUAUCGAACAUGAAUUGAAUAAGAUUAUAUGAGACUUUAUAAAUCAUUUCCCCCAUUAUGUUUAAAUUUUGCUAAACAGUUAAGGGAUUGAAACUUGCGUGGAAAUUAUUUAUCUUGAAACUCAAAUAAUUGCAAACUAGUACAUCGGCCCAACCUAAACAAUAUAUAUCUAUGUAAAGAAAUACAUUAUUUUUAUUAAACAUCAAAAAAUAUUGCCAUUAUUAUUUUAUUAGCACGCACAAUUUCCCCAUUCACUCUUAAUCGCAUAGAAAUGCACUCACGCAUAUUCAUCAUCGAGAUAUAUAGUGGCAUACUCAAACUCACUCAUAAUCACAUAUAUGCAUAUGCUUAAGUGCGAUUUUAUAUACAUCUAUGUAUACUUACAGACACAUAUAUAUAUAUAUGUAUAUAUGUAUGGUGCAUGUAUACAUGUAUGUAUGUAAAUAUAUAUGUCUGUAUAAAGGUACGUAAGUAUGUAUGUACAUAUAUUUACGUAGAAUAUGAAUGUUUACUCUGACUACAAGCAUGUAUAUAUACGUUUUCUUAAAAUUCUCUUUCACUUUAUCUUUUCAGUGGAUUAACCUGGAUUAAAAAGGAUUACUUUCAAAUAUGGAUUUACGUGCCUGGACAGUACCUUUGGCGACAAGCUGGUUUGUGGUUCUCAUGUUAUUAUUGGAUGUUUCAAUUGGAUCCACUGCAGAUUUGCACGCACCGUGUUACGCUUGUCGCAUAUUCAACAUCAUGCAGAGGGACAAUCCCAAACAUGACCCAAAGGU